rnacentral:miRNA from 1 species
GGCGUCGAUAUUGGACGCCAUAAACACGAUCAAAGUUGGUGUUUAUGACGUCGAUAUUCGACGUCAUAAACACUAUCAAUUUUGAUGUUUGUGACGUCGAUAUUCGACGUCAUAAAUACGAUCAACUGUGGUGUUUGUGACGUCGAUAUUCGACGACAUAAACACGAUCAACUUUGGUGUUAAUGACGUCGAUAUUCGACGGCAUAAGCACGAUCAACUUUGGUGUUUAUGGCGUCGAUAUUCGACGUC